rnacentral:snRNA from 1 species
CAAGACUCCAGACACAUCCAAAUAAGGCGUUGCAUGUAGCUGUCUGCCUUUCUUU